rnacentral:lncRNA from 1 species
AAUUAGAGUAGCUCUUUUUUUAUAUCUUUGGGUGAGCAAAUGUUUAUUGAUGUCUUUGAACAAUUUUUUUAUUAUUAUUUUAAGGAAACCUGGCUUACAUUGGUUGUUUUCCUUUGUUUAUUCAACAGUUUUUGCUUUCUAUAACCUAAGAAACCUUUGCCUAGAUCACAAAUAUUCUGUGUUUUCCUACUAGAGCUUCGUUUAGGUGUUUAGGUUUAUGGUCUGACUAAAGUUAACAAAGUGUGGUGUGAGUUAGGUUUGAGGUGGAGCUCCCCAUGCAGUUACUUCAGCCUCAUUUGCUGACAACCUUUAUCCCCUUAUUAGUUAAACUAAAUGACAAAUACUUCUAUUUAUAGGGCUCUAUCUCACUGAUAUGUUGGUCCUUAGUCAAAUAUUUUUUGCAUCUAUGUUCAUGUUCAUGUGAGAUAUUAGUGUGGGUAUUUUUGUUUGUAAUAUUGGUAUACUGUAGCUUUAUGAGAAUUCUUUUCUCUCUUUUUUUGGAUGGGGGGUACGCAGUGCUGGGGAUUGAAUCCAGGACCUCAUGCAUGCCAUUGAUCUGUAUCCCCAUCCCCAGCCUUUAGGAUGUUUUUAUGUUGUUGUUGUUGUUGUUGUUGUUGUUACCAGGAAUUGAACCCAGGGGUGCUUAACCACUGAGCCGCAUCCCAACCCUUUCUUUCUUUAUUUAUUUAUUUAUAAUAUUUUAAUUUUUUUCGUACCAGGGAUUGAACUCGGGGGCACUCAACCACUGAGCUACAUCUCCAGCCCUAUUUUGUAUUUUAUUUAGAGACAGAGUCUCAUUGAGUUGCUUAGUACCUAGCCAUUGCUGAGGCUGGCUUUGAACUCACUGUCCUCCUGUCUCAGCCUCCCGAGGUGCUGGGGUUAUAGGCAUGCGUCACUGCGCCUGGUCCAUUUUUUAUUUUGAGACGGGGUCUUGCUAUGUAGCUGAUGCUGGCUUUGAAUUUGUGAUCCUCCUGCCUCAGCCUCCUGAGUCACUGAGAUUAUAGGCAUGCUUUGUGAGAAUUCCUUAAGUUAAAUGAUAGAAUCUUUCAGCUUUGUUCUUCCCCACUCCCCAAGAUUAUUUUGACUCCUCUUGUUUCUUUGCAUUCCUCUUUAUAGUUUGUGUUGACCCCUCUGUUACUGGGGGUCAACAUUGCUGGGAUUAUGAUUAGAAUUAUUUGAAUUUUUAGAAAAAUAAUGGCUUUAUUGAGAUAGAAUUCACAUGGAAUACAAAAGUGGACAUCUCGGUAGUUUUUAGUAUAUUUACAAAUAUAUCUGACCCUACAUAUUCAAUUUUAGAUAUUUUCAUCAUCUCAAAAAGAAAUCCUGUCCCCUAGCUGUCACUCCCUUGUCUCCCCCUGCUAACCCACUUUCCACUUCCAAAUCAGCUUGCUCUGCACGUUUUAUGUUCGUGUGAUCAUGUAACCCAUAGUGUUGGGGACUGCGGACUGCGUUGUUAAUGUUAAUUCAUGUUAAAACCCUCACCCCUGAAUGAUGGGUCUUGGAGGCAGGGUCUUUGGGGGGAAUAAUUAAGGUUAAG